AUAACCACUAAGAUGCGGUUUAAAGAAACAUUACACAAAGUUAAAAGAAAAACAAAUUUAAAGAUAAAAUUUCAACAGAGUUCUUGGAAUUUUGUAGAUGUAGUAAACAUUCAGAGCAAGGCUAAAAAUUAUACCAUGUUUGUGAGACUUAGAUGAAUCAAAACUGCAGGUUUUCUAGAAGUUUGCCUACAAACUCUAAUGGGCUAUCUUUUCCUAUAAUCAAAGCAAGUAAAGCUUAAAUUACAAAUCCAUGUGUAGUUUCUAAUUUUUCGUUUAAGACAGCUUUUUGUUAUUUCUUUUUCAGUCUGCUGUACUGCCACCGCCCAAUAUAUAAUAUUUCAGGAAACAUUGCAUUAUGAAGGGCUGCAUAACAGUUAAGAAGGCUUUAUUUACAUCUCCAUUUCAUGGGAGUGAAAAGUGGUGCUCAAAGGCUAAAUAACUUCACAGUUGUCUUACUACGAAGCCAAAUACUCUUAGCACACAACUCCUGCUACAUAUUAGAUGCUGAAGAAAACGUUUAUUUCCACCCCUGCAUCAACUUACAAUGCUGAAAUAUUUGGGAACUCCUAAAUAAUCCAUAUACAAUAAAAAUGUAAGUGGGGAUAAAUUUGAAAGUGUUGUUUGCUUGCUGUUUUUUGUUUGAUCAGUGUGAUUUGAUUAUUCCUAAAGUUUCCAUUCUUCUAAAAAAAAUCUUGAUUUCUUUUUAUUAAUUUUUUCUAUCCUUCACUGUAAAAAUCCAAUACCAAACUCAUAUGAAAAACAAAAUCUCUAUUUUAGGAUCCAGAAUAUCCACUAUCUACU
rnacentral:lncRNA from 1 species